rnacentral:rRNA from 1 species
CCCUUAGAUGUUCUGGGCCGCACGCGCGCUACACUGAAGGGAUCAGCGUGUUUUCCCUUCCCGAGAGGGACGGGUAACCCGCUGAACCCCCUUCGUGGUAGGGAUCGGAGCUUGCAAUUGUUCUCCGCGAACCAGGAAUUCCCAGUAAGCGCAAGUCAUAAGCUUGCGUUGAUUACGUCCCUGCCCUUUGUACACACCGCCCGUCGCUACUACCGAUUGAACGUUUUAGUGAGGUAUUUGGACUGGGCCUUGGGAGGUUUCGGCCUCCCUUGUUGCUCGGAAAGACUCCCAAACUUGAGCGUUUAGAGGAAGUAAAAGUCGUAACA